UUUCUAUCAUGUCUUUUAAGCCAACAUCAUUUAAUUAAUUCGCUCAUUGCAAGGUGUGCAUGCACUGAGCGAAUUUCUCAACUGCUGCUUCUUCAAUUGAUGACAUUCGCUAAGCGCAUAGUGCCCGUGCACUGUGCAAAUGCCUUCCUUCUUACUGGUGCGAAUUAUGGCUUGCGCUUAGCGAGUUUUGGCAGAUAGCAG
rnacentral:lncRNA from 1 species